GACGAACGCUGGCGGCGUGCUUAACACAUGCAAGUCGAACGAUGAACCCGGAGCUUGCUCUGGGGGAUUAGUGGCGAACGGGUGAGUAACACGUGAGUAACCUGCCCUGGACUCUGGGAUAAGCGUUGGAAGCGACGUCUAAUACCGGAUAGGACCUUGGAUCGCAUGAUCUGGGGUGGAAAGUUUUUUCGGUCUGGGAUGGACUCGCGGCCUAUCAGCUUGUUGGUGAGGUAAUGGCUCACCAAGGCGUCGACGGGUAGCCGGCCUGAGAGGGUGACCGGCCACACUGGGACUGAGACACGGCCGAGACUCCUACGAGAGGCAGCAGUGGGGAAUAUUGCACAAUGGGCGAAAGCCUGAUGCAGCAACGCCGCGUGCGGGAUGACGGCCUUCGGGUUGUAAACCGCUUUUAGUAGGGAAGAAGGGCUUCGGCUUGACGGUACCUGCAGAAAAAGGACCGGCUAACUACGUG
rnacentral:rRNA from 1 species